UGAACUUAAGCAUAUCAAUAAGCGGAGGAAAAGAAACUAACAAGGAUUCCCCUAGUAACGGCGAGUGAAGCGGGAUGAGCUCAAAUUUAAAAUCUGGCGGCCUCAGGUCGUCCGAGUUGUAGUCUAGAGAAUCGUUUUCCGCGUUGGCCUGUGUACAAGUCCCUUGGAACAGGGCGUCAUAGAGGGUGAGAAUCCCGUCCUUGACACAGAUUACCAAUGCUUUGUGAUGCGAUCUCGAAGAGUCGAGUUGUUUGGGAAUGCAGCUCAAAAUGGGUGGUAAAUUCCAUCUAAAGCUAAAUAUUGGCGAGAGACCGAUAGCGAACAAGUACCGUGAGGGAAAGAUGAAAAGCACUUUGGAAAGAGAGUUAAACAGUACGUGAAAUUGUUAAAAGGGAAACGAUUGAAGUCAGUCAUGCUUUCCGAGACUCAGCCGAUUCUGUCGGUGUACUUCUCGGUUGGCAGGCCAGCAUCAGUUUCGAUCUGUGGAAAAGGUUGGAGGGAACGUGGCAUCCUCGGAUGUGUUAUAGCCCUUCUUCGAAUACAUAGAGCGGGAC
rnacentral:rRNA from 1 species